rnacentral:rRNA from 1 species
UACGUAGGGUGCGAGCGUUAAUCGGAAUUACUGGGCGUAAAGCGUGCGCAGGCGGUGAUGUAAGACAGGUGUGAAAUCCCGGGGCUCAACCUCGGAACUGCAUUUGUGACUGCAUCGCUGGAGUGCGGCAGAGGGGGAUGGAAUUCCGCGUGUAGCAGUGAAAUGCGUAGAUAUGCGGAGGAACACCGAUGGCGAAGGCAAUCCCCUGGGCCUGCACUGACGCUCAUGCACGAAAGCGUGGGGAG